CAACGCGCCAUUUUUUCUUUUUCUUUCGAAUUUCUUUUUCCCGCGGAGACGAGACACGGCCACUCUCGGGUGCUGCUCAGUUAAUUCAUGGGGCUGGGGUUGAGCUGGAAACCUUUCCAUGAUGCCAACCGAACUUCUCCGGAAUGGGACCCCUGGGGAGACUCCGAGCAAGUCACGUGGAGGGGGGCAGUCACCGGUCUCACUGGAGCACACCAGGAGGAGCAGAUCCAGCGAACUGCGGCAAUGGAGCCAAGGAUGGGUCUGAAAUAAAGCAGUGGUUUUUGCCAGGGCAAACCCAAGCCAUUGCAGUACCUGAGGCAGAAAAUCCAAAGACCAUAAAACAAAGAGCACUAAAUUAAAUAAGCACCUAUCACCA